rnacentral:rRNA from 1 species
UACGUAGGGUGCGAGCGUUGUCCGGAAUUAUUGGGCGUAAAGAGCUUGUAGGCGGUUUGUCGCGUCUGCUGUGAAAUUCCAGGGCUUAACCCUGGGCUUGCAGUGGGUACGGGCAGACUAGAGUGUGGUAGGGGAGACUGGAAUUCCUGGUGUAGCGGUGAAAUGCGCAGAUAUCAGGAGGAACACCGAUGGCGAAGGCGGGACUCUGGGCCGGCAUUGACGCUGAGGCGCGAAAGCCAGGGGAGCAAACGGG